rnacentral:lncRNA from 1 species
GGUGCCGUUCCCCACCCCCACCCCGGCUCCAUCUCCCGGUGCCGUUUCCCGGUACCAGUCCCCGGUGCCGUUUCCCGGUGCCAUUCCCCGGCUCCAUUUCCCGGUGCCAUUCCCGGUCCCGGUUCCCAUCCCGGUACCAUUCCCGGUCCCGGUUCCAUUUCCCGGUACCGUUCCCGGUCUCGCUCCCCCGAUCCCGGUGCCGUUCCCAGCUCGGUGCCGUCCCCGGUUCCCAGCCCGGUGCCAUUCCCGGUCCCGGUGCCGUUCCCAGCCCGGUGCCGUUCCCGGUUCCGGUUUCCCGGUCCCGGUUCCCACCCCGGUCCCGUUCCCGCUCCUAUUUAUUCCCCGGUGCCGAACCCAUUCCCCGGUGCCGGUGCCAUUCCCGGUCUCCAUUCCCCGGUCCCUAUUCCCGGUGCCGUUCCCGGUCUCUAUAUCUCCUGGUACCGGUCCCUAUUCCCGGUCCAAUUCCCGGUCUCAGUCUACCGGUACCGGUCCCAUCCCAGUCCCAUUCCCGGUCUCCAUCCCCGGUGCCAUUCCCGGUGCCGUUCCCAUUCCAGCCCCCGGCUCCCGGUUCCCGUUACCCGCUACCAUUCCCAGUACCGGUACCGAUCCCAUCCCGGUGCCAUUCCCGGUGCCGGUACCGACCCCAUCCCGGUGCCACUCCCGGUGCCGGUACCAAUCCCAUCCCGGUGCCAUUCCCGGUGCCGGUACCAAUCCCAUCCCGGUGCCCCUCCCGGUGCCGGUUCCCACCCCGGUGCCAUUUCCUCUGCCGGUCCCGGUUCCCAUUCCGGUACCGAUCCCAUCCCGGUGCCAUUCCCGGUGCCGGUACCGAUCCCAUCCCGGUGCCAUUCCCGGUCCCGUUCCCCGGUGCCAUUCCCGGUACCGGUGCCAUUGCCGCUCCCUAUUCCCGGUGCCAUUCCCGGUGCCGGUUCCCCGGUUCCCAUUCCCGUUUCCCGGUCCCGGUUCCGCUCUCCCGGUCCCGUUUCCCGGUCCCGGUUCCCCGGCUCCCAUUCAUUCCCUGGUCCCGGUCCCGUUUCCCGGUCCCGGUUCCGCUCUCCCGGUCCCGGUUCCCGUUUCCCGGUCCCGUUUCCCAUCCCGGUCCCGGUCUCUCGGUGCCGGUUCCCAUCCCGGUACCGCUCCCAUUCCCGGUCCCCGUUUCCCAUUCCCCAUUCCCCAUUCCCUCUCCGGGUUCGGGUCCCGGUCCCGGUUCCGGGUCCCG